rnacentral:rRNA from 1 species
GACGAACGCUGGCGGCGUGCCUAACACAUGCAAGUCGAACGCAGUGGGGACGGGUGAGUAACACGUGGGUAACCUCCCAUCAGAGGGGAUAACACUUUGAAACACGUGCUAAACCGAUACUGUUGGAUGGCCCCGCGGUGCAUUAGCUAGUUGGUGAGGUAACGGCUCACCAAGGCGACGAUGGAUAGCCGGCGUGGGAGGGGGGGCAGCGACACUGGGGCUGAGACGCGGCCCAGACGCCUGCGGGAGGCAGAAGUGGGGAAGGUUGGGCAAUGGACGAAAGUCUGACCGAGCAACGCCGCGUGAGGGAAGAGGGUUUUCGGGGCGUAAAACUCUGUUGUGAGAGGAGCGGUAUCUGGACAAAAAGCCACGGCUAACUACGUGCCAGCAGCCGCGGUAAUAC